rnacentral:lncRNA from 1 species
CAUUCAUUCUCGCACUCUCGCCUGCCCUCUCCUGCUCCCAGCCGUGACUCACCCCGGGCCCGAGGUUCCUGCGGGCACCCGCGGACUCCGGCGACUCCCGCGGCCGUGUCUCUUCCCGGCGUCCAGCCGAGCUCGAAAAACCGGUGCGACUUCUUCGGGAGGCGAUUGCAGCCGACCCUCCCCUCUGCGGCCCUAGAAGAUGCAGCGAAGGAGGGGCUUGGCAGGCAGCGCGAGGUGGCUCCCGGCCGCAGGCUGAGCGCAGAGCACGGCAGACCUCCCCGAACGCGGGCGGGGAUCAAUCUGGGAAAGUUCUCUGGGUGCCGCUCCCAGCAACUUUCAGGGGUGGGGCCCGGGAAGGGAUAAGCCACCUCCGCACCUCCUCCGGUUUCGGAAACUGCUUCCCGACUACGUCGUGUGCGGGCCGGGGGGCACCCGCGCUGACUCAAGGGGUGGUGCCCCGCCUAGGUCAAGUGGGUGGGUUUCCAAACAUCACAAGACCGCUUGGCGAGGUGAAUUGCGUUUUGGCAAGUAUGAGAAACCGG